rnacentral:tRNA from 1 species
GGGGUUGUGGCUCAGUGGUAGAGUGCUUACCUAGCAUGUGCGAGGCCCUGGGUUUGAUCCUCAGCACCACA